CGAACGGGUGAGUAACGCGUGAGCAACCUGCCUAUGACAGUGGGAUAGCCUCGGGAAACCGGGAUUAAUACCGCAUAAAAUCGUAGAAACACAUGUUUCAACGGUCAAAGAUUUAUCGGUCAUAGAUGGGCUCGCGUCUGAUUAGCUAGUUGGUGAGAUAACAGCCCACCAAGGCGACGAUCAGUAGCCGGUCUGAGAGGAUGAACGGCCACAUUGGAACUGAGACACGGUCCAAACUCCUACGGGAGGCAGCAGGA
rnacentral:rRNA from 1 species